UACGUAGGGUGCGAGCGUUAAUCGGAAUUACUGGGCGUAAAGCGUGCGCAGGCGGUUUGAUAAGACAGGCGUGAAAUCCCCGAGCUUAACUUGGGAAUGGCGCUUGUGACUGUCAGGCUAGAGUGCGUCAGAGGGGGGUAGAAUUCCACGUGUAGCAGUGAAAUGCGUAGAGAUGUGGAGGAAUACCGAUGGCGAAGGCAGCCCCCUGGGCCUGCACUGACGCUCAUGCACGAAAGCGUGGGGAGCAAACAGG
rnacentral:rRNA from 1 species